rnacentral:rRNA from 1 species
CGUACACUCCUACGGGAGGCAGCAGUGGGGAAUUUUGGACAAUGGGCGAAAGCCUGAUCCAGCCAUGCCGCGUGCAGGAUGAAGGCCUUCGGGUUGUAAACUGCUUUUGUACGGAACGAAACGGCCUUUUCUAAUAAAGAGGGCUAAUGACGGUACCGUAAGAAUAAGCACCGGCUAACUACGUGCCAGCAGCCGCGGUAAUACGUAGGGUGCAAGCGUUAAUCGGAAUUACUGGGCGUAAAGCGUGCGCAGGCGGUUAUGUAAGACAGUUGUGAAAUCCCCGGGCUCAACCUGGGAACUGCAUCUGUGACUGCAUAGCUAGAGUACGGUAGAGGGGGAUGGAAUUCCGCGUGUAGCAGUGAAAUGCGUAGAUAUGCGGAGGAACACCGAUGGCGAAGGCAAUCCCCUGGACCUGUACUGACGCUCAUGCACGAAAGCGUGGGGAGCAAACAGGAUUAGAAACCUGGUAGUCCC